GACGAACGCUGGCGGCGUGCUUAACACAUGCAAGUCGAACGGAAAGGCCCUGCUUUUGUGGGGUGCUCGAGUGGCGAACGGGUGAGUAACACGUGAGUAACCUGCCCUUGACUUAGGGAUAACUUCAGGAAACUGGGGCUAAUACCGGAUAGGAGCUCCUGCUGCAUGGUGGGGGUUGGAAAGUUUCGGCGGUUGGGGAUGGACUCGCGGCUUAUCAGCUUGUUGGUGGGGUAGUGGCUUACCAAGGCUUUGACGGGUAGCCGGCCUGAGAGGGUAACCGGCCACAUUGGGACUGAGAUACGGCACAGACUCCUACGGGAGGCAGCAGGGGGGAAUAUUGCACAAUGGGCGGAAGCCUGAUGCAGCAACGCCGCGUGCGGGAUGACGGCCUUCGGGUUGUAAACCGCUUUCGCCUGUGACGAAGCGUGAGUGACGGUAAUGGGUAAAGAAGCACCGGCUAACUACGUG
rnacentral:rRNA from 1 species